rnacentral:rRNA from 1 species
AGUGAACGCUGGCGGUAGGCCUAACACAUGCAAGUCGAACGGCAGCACAGUAAGAGCUUGCUCUUACGGGUGGCGAGUGGCGGACGGGUGAGGAAUACAUCGGAAUCUACUUUUUCUUGGGGGAUAACGUAGGGAAACUUACGCUAAUACCGCAUACGACCUACGGGUGAAAGCAGGGGAUCUUCGGACCUUGCGCGAUUGAAUGAGCCGAUGUCGGAUUAGCUAGUUGGCGGGGUAAAGGCCCACCAAGGCGACGAUCCGUAGCUGGUCUGAGAGGAUGAUCAGCCACACUGGAACUGAGACACGGUCCAGACUCCUACGGGAGGCAGCAGUGGGGAAUAUUGGACAAUGGGCGAAAGCCUGAUCCAGCCAUACCGCGUGGGUGAAGAAGGCCUUCGGGUUGUAAACCCCUUUUGUUGGGGAAGAAAAGCAGCAGGUUAAUACCCCGCUGUUCUGACGGUACCAAAAGAAUAAGCACCGGCUAACUUCGUG